GACGAACGCUGGCGGCGUGCUUAACACAUGCAAGUCGAACGCUGAAGCUCAGCUUGCUGGGUGGAUGAGUGGCGAACGGGUGAGUAACACGUGAGUAACCUGCCCUCUUCUUUGGGAUAACGCCCGGAAACGGGUGCUAAUACUGGAUAUUCACUGAUUCUCGCAUGGGGGUUGGUGGAAAGGUUUUUUCUGGUGGGGGAUGGGCUCGCGGCCUAUCAGCUUGUUGGUGGGGUGAUGGCCUACCAAGGCUUUGACGGGUAGCCGGCCUGAGAGGGUGACCGGUCACAUUGGGACUGGGAUACGGCCCAGACUCCUACGGGAGGCAGCAGUGGGGGAUAUUGCACAAUGGGCGAAAGCCUGAUGCAGCGGCGCCGCGUGAGGGAUGGAGGCCUUCGGGUUGUAAACCUCUUUCGCUCAUGGUCAAGCCGCAGCUUUGGGUUGUGGUGAGGGUAGUGGGUAAAGAAGCGCCGGCUAACUACGUG
rnacentral:rRNA from 1 species